CUUCACACCUACUGAAAGUCUCCUUGAUGUCCUGAAACAGCCGUAGGCCACCCUGCUGACUCUGCUCCUGGGCCUCGGCCAGCAAGCUGUGCUGUUUGGGCUCAGCUGGGUGGCCUGCUCUGAGAGGCGGCUGGCUGCAGCUCCCGCACGCCCCAACUGGGCUUCAUGCAUCUCUCGGAGGCGCCGCUGCAGCCCUGCCUGCUCUUCAGCCAGAAACCGCGUCAACUGCCCAAACUCUGAAGCCACAGCUGUAAGCUCUAACUUCAUCUGGCUCUUCAGUUCUGUCACCCGCCUCUCCUCCUUGGCCUUCAUCUUCUGCAUGACUUCCAGUUUACCCUAGCGACCUUUGAGUCCAUUAUUAUGGCGCCAUGGGAUCCAACUGGAUUUUAGCAGCCAACUAGAGUUCUCACGGUAUAAGAUGGUAUUUUUUUGUUUGCUUGUUUUGCUUUAGUGUUUUCCCAAAGUGGGGGCUGCAACAAUCUGAUGAUGGCUGAAGAGGAAAUGUAGUCUCCCUUUGAGCAUCAGAAGGUACUCUAGAGACAUGGGGGAGGCAAGCAGGGAAUCAGCAUUGUUUGGUAUAAGAAUUUUUCAAAAAAUAAUGAAAACACCUUAUUACACUUGCAAUUUUAUCCCACUUCGCAGUAUUAAGCACAAUUUCUAAAAAACUUAAAACAUGCCAUUUUUAUUAAUGGUCCAUUUAAAACCACCAAACAUUUUGAUGUCAAUUACUAAAACAAGGUUUAACGCUGUCAAAAAGCAUUAGUGCUAAAAACAGUCAUCCUCUCUGUAUUUUCAUCUGCAAAGCAUUACAGUUUAUAAAACAAUUUUAACUCUGAAUACGUAAGGCCUUAUAUGAAG
rnacentral:lncRNA from 1 species